rnacentral:lncRNA from 1 species
AGAAGAAAGAAAUUCAUAUUAAAACAAAAAUCAAAUUUUUCUGCUGUAAAGGAUGAGGUGAACCAGAGACCUCGAGAACUGCCUGAGAGAGGUUAAAUUAUUAUAGCAUUGGAGAGGGUACUUUAAAAAGCUGUAUCAAGGCCUAAAAGUGUUGUGACUUGUUUUCUAUUUGUUUGUUUGUUUGCGGUGCUGGGGAUGAAAAGCAGGGUUUCAUGAACGCCAGGCAAGCCCUCUACCGCGAAGCCACAGCCCCAGUUCUGUAUUGUUAUUUUGAGACGGUCUCAUUAAGUUGCCCAGGCUGGCCUCGAAAUUCCCAUCCUCCUGCUUCAGGCUCUCAAGUCUCAGGGUUUUAAGAUUUUAAUAUCAGUUGAGUCAAGUUUUAGUGCCAGAAAUUUAUUCUAAAGAAAUAAUCAUGGAUGUACAGAAAGAUUUAGUAAUCUGGGUGUUCAUUAUAUCCUUGAUUAAAAUGAGAAAAUGUGAGAUAAGCUAAAUGACUAAUGAUGAGCUAACAUGCAUAAUGUUAGGAUAAUAACUGGAAAGUGGUUGCAAUAUUCACUUAAUUGAAAGAAGUAGGUUGCAAAACUAUAUAAAGGAUCUCGUUUACUUUGUAGACUCCCACAUGCAUAUCAGAAUGAAAAUAUUAAAAUGUUAAUAGUGAUUAUUUGGGGGUGGGAGAAUCAUUUAUAUUUAUGGAAACAACUAGCAAUUCCCUAUCACUAUCGUUAUCUAUAAUUGUAACUUCUUUCUUUCUUUAUAAUGGUUCUCAGUCCCUGUCCCACCGUGAGACCCAAGUGCCUUUGGAUCACGGAUCUUUCUGAUCUACACCCUGCUGUGUCCUGAGGACUUACGGGCAGUACGCAGACCCUCAGCAGACUUGUUUGUAUCUGUGAGUGAAUACAUUGUUUUCAUUGUAAAAAGAUCUACUUAAAAUCCAACUCAUUGGGCUGGGACUGUAGCUCAGUGGCAGAGCGCUUGCCUAGCUUGCAUGGGUUCCAUCCUCAGCACCACAUAAAAAUAAACAAAUAAAAUAAAGGCAUUCUUUCCAUCUACAACUACAAAAAAAGUUUUUUAAAAACCCAAACUCAUCAUGUGCAUUAUAGAGGGGUGGAUGUGCAUAGUCCCUGACACUUGUUCCUCCACAGGAACAAAUAUUGGCACCUUCUUCUAGAGGCUUCACCAAAUCCCCCACCUCUGGGAAAACUGGGGUACCCACAGUGUGGCAGCCACAGUGCUGGGUCUUGCAUGGCGGCCUUGGUGCUUCCUGCUGGCUUCCUGAUGCCCCUGUCUUAUCCCCUUGGGUGUGCCUGGGGAAGAUUCCAUCUGAUUUGCCUCUGCCCAAAGCCACUGCCAAUGCUUUGCACGUGGUGGGCACUCCAUACCUGUAAAUGUUCUGCACGAGCAUUUUGUGACUUGUGUGUCGGACCAGCUAUAUGCUACUGAAAACCACCACAUGCAACGAACUUCAGUUUUGUAGUUUGGGAUCUUCAGGAAAUAUGCUGUCUCCAAGAAAUGCCUAACACUUUAGCCAGGGCAAAUGGCAGCCCGGGUUAAGACACUGACACUCUGCUAUGGAGACGAGGGUCCAUCCUCAUGUUACCGCUUCGACUGAAG